rnacentral:rRNA from 1 species
GACGAACGCUGGCGGCGUGCUUAACACAUGCAAGUCGAACGGAAAGGCCCUGCUUCUGUGGGGUGCUCGAGUGGCGAACGGGUGAGUAACACGUGAGUAACCUGCCCUUGACUUUGGGAUAACUUCAGGAAACUGCGGCUAAUACCGGAUAGGAGCUCCUGCUGCAUGGUGGGGGUUGGAAAGUUUCGGCGGUUGGGGAUGGACGCCCGGCUUAUCAGCUUGUUGGUGGGGUAGUGGCUUACCAAUGCUUUGACGGGUAGACGGCCUGAGAGGGUGACCGACGACAGUAGGAAUGCGAUACGGACCAGACUCAUACGGGAGGCUGCAGUCGAGAAUAAUGAGCGCUGAUAGGAAGACUUUUGCAGCAACGCCGGAUGUGGGAUGAAGGCCUUGGGAUUGUAAUCCGCAUUCGCCUGUGACGAAGAGUGAGUGACGGUGCUGGGUAAAGAAGCACCGGCUAACUACGUG